CUUUGCUUCCCCUUCUUAUUAGAAAUACACUAUAAUUUAGGAUAGUAAAAUAAAUUACACAAUUGACAACAUUAUCCCCCCUCCAUCUAAGCUGUCAUAAAAUGCUACCCCAAACAUUGUCCAACUUUGAUAAAUUAUCAAAUAUGUCAAAUGAAAUAAUAUAAAAUCAUUGUGUGCUGCAAUUUAAAUAUUGUUUUAUAAAUGAUUUUUAAAUUGAUAUUGACUUUUGGAUAUGUUAAGUUAAUUUCACUCUAUGACUCCACUCCAACACUCCACCACUCCA
rnacentral:lncRNA from 1 species